GCCUUUGUAGUUCAAUGGAUAGAAUGACGGUUUCCGGAACCGUUGAUGUGGGUUCGAUUCCCGCCAGAGGCA
rnacentral:tRNA from 1 species